rnacentral:tRNA from 1 species
GGAGAGAGAGGGAUUCGAACCCUCGGUACGAAUAGCUCAUACAAUGGAUUAGCAAUCCACCGCUUUGGUCCGCUCAGCCAUCUCUCC